rnacentral:lncRNA from 1 species
CUGAAGGGUGCGGUCAUCAACCCAAGGAGUUGAGGAACUUUUAUCUGGACUAUGUGCAGAAAAGCAGUGUGACAGAGAGACAGAGCCACACUCUGGAAGGCAUCCUGCAGUUCAUGUCCUACCCAACAGGGACAAGCAGAGAGGAGCUCAAGCAUACUGAACUCACCAAGCACCCUGGCUUGGCAAACGCCAUAUCACCAUUCAUCAGCUAGUCUGACUUCCGCUUUGCUACCAGGCUG